CCCAUCUUGUCUGUUUUUCUCACCUUUAAUUUUUGUUUUUUAGAAAGUAUAAAGUUUUUACAAAAAAAUGUCCAUCUUCUCCCCCAAAUCUUUUAGUCGAAAAGGAUUUUUUUUUGGGGGCAAUUUUUUAGCAUGUAUUUACUCUUAUGCAUUUCGACAGGCAAGAAGAAAGUCAAGUUUACAAAAUUAUCUAAGUCCAAGAUUAGAGCAGGAAGCUUUCACAAGGUUGGUUUUCAACAGAUUCUUUGAUUUUCAACCCAGUUCAAAUCCUUCUCGAAAAGGCAAAAUCAAAUGUCCUAACACAUUGAAGGCAUGUUAAAGCUGUCGAAAAGAUGUAGUUUUUAGCCGUUAGUCUGUUAGUUAUUUUCUCUUAUGUAUAUAUAGUAGUUUUUCAUAGGGAAAACAAGUGACAAAUCAUUAUCAAAAGUUCUUACACAAGAAUUAUCCAGGAACACAGAGAGAAAAGAGUCAAAAUGUAUCUAACAUGAUUUGAUGUACCAUUUCCAUUUCAGCAAUGCAAUUUACUUUCUUUUUAGUUUAUUUGCCUUUAGAAUUCUAAGUCUUUUAGUUUUGAAUCUUCAAACACAUUGUUGAUUCUUAUCGAAGACAAUUAUCUUCACCAUAAAACAGUUUCCUUCAUCUUGUUCAUAAACAAAUUCAAGAAUAUGAUGAACAUUCAUACAUUUUCUGGAAAAUCAUUGCACAACAUGUCCUAGAAUUUCUAGUUUGAUCCUACAAGUAACAUUUUAAAACUAGAAAAUAUACAUUUCACAUCAGUGGACAAAAUAUCUGAAGGGAAAGCUAGCACGGUGGCAUUUUUGAAAUUUUAUUGAAGUUGGAUUUAUCUUUCACAUCCGUGGACCCAGGUAGCUGAGGGUAAAACUAAAUAGCCAAUAACAUUUCCCAUCGGUGGAUUUUUUAAAUGAAGCGAAAACAAAAGCGGUGGCAAUUUCGCAAUUUUGCCUAAACUUCUCUUAACCAAUAGAAAAUGUUUUUUGUAGAUCUCAGAUCCCCUUUCUCUUAACCCUUCUGCUAAUAAUCUCACUCAUUGAAAGCCAUUGUUCUCACUCCUCAAAUCGUCGUCGUUCUCAACGUUUCAUCCAAUUGUGAUGUUGUUUUCACUCAAUCGAUGUCGUUCUCGCCGUUUCUCGUAUGGGUUCUCGUUGUCAGUGGAAGAAAAGCUCUUCUCCGGUAUGUUUUCACAAAGUAAAUGGGUUUUCAUACUGUGAUUUCUUGUUAACCCUAAUUUUUAUGAAUUUUUCAGGUUCUGAAAAUAUGGGUUUUCACUACAAGUAAUUUCUUGUUAACCCUAAUUUUUAGGAAUUUCUUGUUGUUGUUUACUCUCUCUCUCUCUCUCUCUCUCUCUCUCUCUCUCUCUCUCUUUAUGAAUUUUGCUUUGUUGAUGAUCUGCCCUUUUUAAUCGGCUCACUGUUGUAAUAUUUUCCCCAUUUUUCUUUCAUUGUUUUUCUUCCCAAUAUAUUGAUAGAGGGAGCUAACUAUUCAGUUAUUGUAAUCAUUCAUUGUAUAUUACAUUUUUAUGUAUAUAUUGUUAUUUAUUUUUCUAAUUUAGGUUGUAUCCAUGUUCUGUCUUUAGCUAAUGUAUGGUAUAUAACUAGCCAAAUGGAAUUCAACAGUAGUGGAGGUCUUUAUUCUGUUGAUAAUCUCGUGUCUCUCUAAUGGUUCUUGAAUGCAUGAUUUUUUAGUUUAAAGUAUUUUGUCUAUCUACAAACCAUUGAAAUGAUAUCAGUUACUGCUCUUAUUUUAGUCUUAUCCCUUCUUUGUUUUUUGUUUGCAUUUUGUUAUUUUAACAUUGAAAGUGUGGAUUGAUCAUGCUCUAGUAAUUAAUUUCGUUAGUCAUAAAUUGUUAUAUACACUUUACAGGGUUUAGUCUAAUGGUUGGAAGCUAUAAAACUUUGGUUGUGAUUAAUUUAAAGAUGAAGUGAGGUGCUAGACAUUAGUGCUUAGUCUAGUGUGAUAUAUAUCAUGUUAAUGAAUUCUAUUAGAUAUAUAGCUAAAUAUUUUUACGAAAAGUUCAUAAGUAAUUAUUUUUUGAGUUUAAUGAUACUGAAAUGCCAAUUCAACAUGGUAUAGCAGUUAUACACAUAAUCUAUAGUUUUUGUUAUUUGAACCUUGGUCAUGGUCACUUGUAUGAUGUUUACAAGGAAUUUUAUUUGUACAAUUUGAAUGAUUUUGAGAGUACAUUUUAUAGCAUGUUUUUAUAUCUUAAAUGAAGGAUCUAGUUGUCUAAUUGUUAAUUGUUAAAAUGAUGAAGGUAAGAAUUUAUAGUUGAUGGAUGCAUGUUUCUGGUGGUGUUCAACUUCAAAGGGCCUCAAUGGGUUAAAAUGGCACACAAUAGUUAAAAUGUUUAAGUACAAUGACACACUUGCUGUAUAAUGAUGAUGCAGUAGCAGCAAGGUGAAAAGACUCUUGGAGUCCACUUAAAUCAACAAAAAGAAGGAGAAAAGUGUGCAAGAGACAUAAAUGUGGAGUAAAAGGAGCUGAGGGUUCAAAAUGGUUGAAACAAUUAUUGUAGUGAUCAUCAAAUACUGCUUGUGGAUGAGAGUGAUUUCUCCUUCUCCCUUUGCAUAUCCAAAUUAAAGCUUUUGCUUCUACUGACCAACAUUUUGUCUUUCUUCACUUGACAACUAUUGGUCUCUUUCUAUCUUCUUUUCUCUACUUUUUCUAUAUAAUAAAAGUAAGUUGCAGAGUAAUUUUUUUUUGUUCAUAUGAGUUUGUUCCAUUUCAUUUAUGUAGUCAUUUUUUUUAAUUGUUUAUUAGUCUACGUGACCCUCCCUUUUGUAUUUUCUAAGGGGUUAACCCCAACAUCAAAAUGUCCUCUGAAAUUUGGUUAAGUAAUUUAUCGAUGGUUACAAAAUGAAUUAGGUUUCUUUAGUCAAAAAUGAAUAGGUUUUUGUUACUUACAAAGUUGAAUAUUUCCUACUGUUUUCUAUUUCCUAUAUAAGGUUGUAUAUUCAGAACUUUGGUAUGGUUUUUUCUAGUCAUUGAAAAUUGUGUAGUUCGUGUUGUGUGUGCGCGCACGCACACACACAUAGGUUAGACCUGUGAGUAGGCUAAUGUGCACGGAGAGAAAAAUCUUUGACCAUUAACCCAUAUACAGUCAAGAUUAAAAGACUUUUAUUUAGUUGACACAACUUUAAAUUCAUAUUAUUUUCUAUGUUUAGAUUCAAUGGAAAAGAUUUUACUCCUCCUUUCUACACAUGUAAAAUUACUCUCACUUGACAGCGAAAGAUGGGAUGUCAAAACAAAAGUCUUUUCAUUUGUUGUGCUGGACAGGAGGACUAUUAAACUUCAAAUUAGUAAGUUACUAAGUGAAUUAAUGUGUAAUUUAAAAUAUUAGAACAACUUUGUUUUUGGUUCUGUUAUUUUUAGGCUAGGCUAUUUAGUAAUAAGUUACUAAAGUUUAAUUUUUAGGCUAUUUUUGUAGAUUGUUUGUACAACUUGUUAAUUUUAAUUUGUUUGAACAAGACUGUAGAAAAGGCUUUGAUAGUUGUUUAUAUGUUAUUAGAAUUAUUCAUCUUGUUUGUUAUUGUUAUAAUGUGUUAUGUUUCAAUCAACUUGGAGGGUUAUUGAAAUUUGCUGUAAUUAUUGGCAUAGUUCCUUAAUUUCGCUACUUGUUAUAUUUCUCGUACUGUGCUGAAUCCUUUCCCUUUCCAGUGAACUUAUACUACUCUUUGCUGAAUACCUCUAUUAAAUUUGACUGAAUUUAUGUGACAACUAACAACACAACAUUGUAUCUGAAGUUGCAAGGAAAACGAUACAAAACAAAGUUAACAAGAGAAUUCAAUUGCAUGCUAGUUGUAACUUUUUAAAGUUGAUGGAUUAAGUCUACCAAGUACAAAAGAACAUGUAUAAGAACUAGAACUUGCUAGAUAUAUUUACUUUUAGUAACAUCAGUAUUUUGGAUAUGGUAAUGUGAUGUACUUCAAUUUUGAACUGUUAGAUAAUUUGUAGUUAAUGCAUAAUAGCAUGUUUGUUAAUCACAGUGGGUAAGGACUAAGAACUUAACAAAUUAUUUUUUACUUUUAAAUAACUAAUUUAUUUUGGAUAAUUUAUGUUAUGCAUGUAUUGUAUAUCAUAAGUAAAGUAAAAAUUUUGGUUUUGGUAUGGUAUAAAGAAAAAGAUUAGAUCUCAUAUGGUAAUGCAAGUUAAAAAAAAUAAGCUUAAAUAUUGUAUUUUUUAUAAAAUAAAAAAAGUAAAGAUUUCACAUCUAGUUAAGCCUGUAUGCAGAUAGGGAAAAAUAUUAUUUUUUUUAUUUCAAAAAUAUUGGAUUUCCCAUCGGUGGAUACAUUUAUUGCCGUAGUGAAAACCCCCCAUGUGCUGCUCUUAACGACGCUUAUCACAUCAGUGCUAAAUAACCCCGAUGUGCAAAAAUAUAUUUCUACAUCGGGCAAAUACCCGAUGUGAAAUGGGGUGGACAAACAACAUCACCUUUAGUCACAUCGGGUUCGGGACCCGAUGUGAGAAUUUGAAUUCCACUGAUGGUAGAAAUGUAAUUUUUGUAGUAGUGCAACACCUCAGAAUCUGGUCAGGUUGUUCGACCAAAGAAAAAGAAACCCAUGAAAAAGCAUACACAAGUCACCCCCGCCCCCACCCCCCCCCCCCAUCUUGUGUGUUUUUCUUCACCUUUAAUUUUUGUUUUUUAGAAAGUAUAAACUUUUUACAAAAAAUGUCCAUCUUCUCCCUCAAUUGUUUUAGUCGAAAAAGAUAUUUUUUUGGGGGCAAUUUUUUAGCAUGUUUUUACUCUUAUGCAUUUCGACAGGCAAGAAGAAAGUCAAGUUUACAAAAUUAUCUAAGUCCAAGAUCAGAGCAGGAAGCUUUCAACAAGGUUGGUUUUCAACGGAUUCUUUGAUUUUCAACCCAAUUCAAAUCCUUCCCGAAAAGGAAAAAUCAAAUGUCCUAACACAUUGAAGGCAUGUUAAAGUUGUCGAAAAGAUGUAGUUUUUAGCCGUUAGUCUGUUAGUUAUUUUCUCUUAUGUAUAUAUAGUAGUUUUUCAUAGGGAAAACAAGUGACAAAUCAUUAUCAAAAGUUCUUACACAAGAAUUAUCCAGGAACACAGAGAGAAAAGAGUCAAAAUGUAUCUAACAUGAUUUGAUGUACCAUUUCCAUUUCAGCAAUGCAAUUUACUUUCUUUUUAGUUUAUUUGCCUUUAGAAUUCUAAGUCUUUUAGUUUUGAAUCUUCAAACACAUUGUUGAUUC
rnacentral:lncRNA from 1 species